GGGUUGUGAGGUUAAGCGACUAAGCGUACACGGUGGAUGCCCUGGCAGUCAGAGGCGAUGAAGGACGUGCUAAUCUGCGAAAAGCGUCGGUAAGGUGAUAUGAACCGUUACAGCCGGCGAUGUCCGAAUGGGGAAACCCAGUGCAAUUCGUUGCACUAUCGUUAACUGAAUACAUAGGUUAACGAGGCGAACCGGGGGAACUGAAACAUCUAAGUACCCCGAGGAAAAGAAAUCAACCGAGAUUCCCCCAGUAGCGGCGAGCGAACGGGGAGCAGCCCAGAGUCUGAAUCAGCUUGUGUGUUAGUGGAACGGUCUGGAAAGUCCGACGGUACAGGGUGAUAGUCCCGUACACCAAAAUGCACAGGUUGUGAACUCGAAGAGUAGGGCGGGACACGUGGUAUCCUGUCUGAAUAUGGGGGGACCAUCCUCCAAGGCUAAAUACUCCUGACUGACCGAUAGUGAACCAGUACCGUGAGGGAAAGGCGAAAAGAACCCCGGCGAGGGGAGUGAAAAAGAACCUGAAACCGUGUACGUACAAGCAGUGGGAGCACCUUCGGGUGUGACUGCGUACCUUUUGUAUAAUGGGUCAGCGACUUAUAUUCUGUAGCAAGGUUAACCGUAUAGGGGAGCCGCAGGGAAACCGAGUCUUAACUGGGCGUUAAGUUGCAGGGUAUAGACCCGAAACCCGGUGAUCUAGCCAUGGGCAGGUUGAAGGUUGGGUAACACUAACUGGAGGACCGAACCGACUAAUGUUGAAAAAUUAGCGGAUGACUUGUGGCUGGGGGUGAAAGGCCAAUCAAACCGGGAGAUAGCUGGUUCUCCCCGAAAGCUAUUUAGGUAGCGCCUCGUGAAUUCAUCUUCGGGGGUAGAGCACUGUUUCGGCUAGGGGGUCAUCCCGACUUACCAACCCGAUGCAAACUACGAAUACCGAAGAAUGUUAUCACGGGAGACACACGGCGGGUGCUAACGUCCGUCGUGAAGAGGGAAACAACCCAGACCGCCAGCUAAGGUCCCAAAGUCACAGUUAAGUGGGAAACGAUGUGGGAAGGCACAGACAGCCAGGAUGUUGGCUUAGAAGCAGCCAUCAUUUAAAGAAAGCGUAAUAGCUCACUGGUCGAGUCGGCCUGCGCGGAAGAUGUAACGGGGCUAAACUGUGCACCGAAGCUGCGGCAGCGACACUAUGUGUUGUUGGGUAGGGGAGCGUUCUGUAAGCCUGCGAAGGUGGCCUGUGAGGGUUGCUGGAGGUAUCAGAAGUGCGAAUGCUGACAUAAGUAACGAUAAUGCGGGUGAAAAGCCCGCACGCCGGAAGACCAAGGGUUCCUGUCCAACGUUAAUCGGGGCAGGGUGAGUCGACCCCUAAGGCGAGGCCGAAAGGCGUAGUCGAUGGGAAACAGGUUAAUAUUCCUGUACUUGGUGUUACUGCGAAGGGGGGACGGAGAAGGCUAUGUUAGCCGGGCGACGGUUGUCCCGGUUUAAGCAUGUAGGCGGAGGUUCCAGGUAAAUCCGGUACCUUUUAACGCUGAGGUGUGAUGACGAGGCACUACGGUGCUGAAGUAACAAAUGCCCUGCUUCCAGGAAAAGCCUCUAAGCAUCAGGUAACAUUGAAUCGUACCCCAAACCGACACAGGUGGUCAGGUAGAGAAUACCAAGGCGCUUGAGAGAACUCGGGUGAAGGAACUAGGCAAAAUGGUGCCGUAACUUCGGGAGAAGGCACGCUGAUAUGUAGGUGAAGUCCCUGCGGAUGGAGCUGAAAUCAGUCGAAGAUACCAGCUGGCUGCAACUGUUUAUUAAAAACACAGCACUGUGCAAACACGAAAGUGGACGUAUACGGUGUGACGCCUGCCCGGUGCCGGAAGGUUAAUUGAUGGGGUUAUCCGUAAGGAGAAGCUCUUGAUCGAAGCCCCGGUAAACGGCGGCCGUAACUAUAACGGUCCUAAGGUAGCGAAAUUCCUUGUCGGGUAAGUUCCGACCUGCACGAAUGGCGUAAUGAUGGCCAGGCUGUCUCCACCCGAGACUCAGUGAAAUUGAACUCGCUGUGAAGAUGCAGUGUACCCGCGGCAAGACGGAAAGACCCCGUGAACCUUUACUAUAGCUUGACACUGAACAUUGAGCCUUGAUGUGUAGGAUAGGUGGGAGGCUUUGAAGCGUGGACGCCAGUCUGCGUGGAGCCAACCUUGAAAUACCACCCUUUAAUGUUUGAUGUUCUAACGUUGGCCCCUGACCGGGGUUGCGGACAGUGUCUGGUGGGUAGUUUGACUGGGGCGGUCUCCUCCCAAAGAGUAACGGAGGAGCACGAAGGUUAGCUAAUCCUGGUCGGACAUCAGGAGGUUAGUGCAAUGGCAUAAGCUAGCUUGACUGCGAGCGUGACGGCGCGAGCAGGUGCGAAAGCAGGUCAUAGUGAUCCGGUGGUUCUGAAUGGAAGGGCCAUCGCUCAACGGAUAAAAGGUACUCCGGGGAUAACAGGCUGAUACCGCCCAAGAGUUCAUAUCGACGGCGGUGUUUGGCACCUCGAUGUCGGCUCAUCACAUCCUGGGGCUGAAGUAGGUCCCAAGGGUAUGGCUGUUCGCCAUUUAAAGUGGUACGCGAGCUGGGUUUAGAACGUCGUGAGACAGUUCGGUCCCUAUCUGCCGUGGGCGCUGGAGAAUUGAGGGGGGCUGCUCCUAGUACGAGAGGACCGGAGUGGACGCAUCACUGGUGUUCGGGUUGUCAUGCCAAUGGCAUUGCCCGGUAGCUAAAUGCGGAAGAGAUAAGUGCUGAAAGCAUCUAAGCACGAAACUUGCCCCGAGAUGAGUUCUCCCUGAGACUUUAAGUCUCCUGAAGGAACGUUAAAGACGAUGACGUUGAUAGGUCGGGUGUGUAAGCGUAGCGAUACGUUGAGCUAACCGAUACUAAUGAACCGUGAGGCUUAACCUUACAACGCCGAAG
rnacentral:rRNA from 1 species